GGGCAAUCGCCUGUUCCAGGAGCGGGCAACAACAUAGGGUUUCCUACAAAAUAUUUGUAGGAAACUAUGGGCAACACGCGGCAGGCCCUCCCUGAAACGCUGCUUCCUGCAGCUGACGGCAGGCGGCGAUACAAGUUUAUGUUUGCGCCGUCACAGCAGCAGCUCGCAUCCCCAUAAGCGCAGGGCGCUCGUGCCAAGCGGUCUCAACAUUCGUAGCCUGCAGGAAGGGGCCAACAGCAGCACAAAAAUAUUUCUCAGUCUGAUGAUAUGACAGCAUAGUGAAAAAUUCAAUCAAACAAGCAUCACUAGGCUACAGCCUCAGUGUUCCAGUGUCAGUGCUCCAGUUUCAGAAGUGGUGUUACCUUGGUGAAGUGCCGG